AUUGAACGCUGGCGGCAGGCCUAACACAUGCAAGUCGCGCGGAGCGGCGGACUGGUGAGUAAUGACUAGGACUCUGCCUGGUAGUGGGGUAUAACGUCCUGCAACGGGCCCUAAUACCGCAUCCUAUCAGCUGAGACUAGGUGGUAUUAGCUAGUUGGUGGGGUAAAGGCCUACCAAGGCGACGAUCCGUAACUGUUCUGAGAGGAUGAUCAGUCACACUGGAACUGCGACACGGUCCAGACGCCUACGAGAGGCAGCAGUUGUGAAUAUUGGACAAUGGGCGAAAGCCUGAUCCAGCGAUGCCGCGGGUGUGAAGAAGGUCUUCGGGUUGUAAAGCACUUUAAGUUGGGAGGCGUUACCAACAGAAUAAGCACCGGCUAACGUCGUGCCAGCAGCCGCGGUAAUAC
rnacentral:rRNA from 1 species